rnacentral:rRNA from 1 species
AACGAACGCUGGCGGCAUGCCUAACACAUGCAAGUCGAACGAGACCUUCGGGUCUAGUGGCGCACGGGUGCGUAACGCGUGGGAACCUGCCCUUAGGUUCGGAAUAACUCCCCGAAAGGGGUGCUAAUACCGGAUAAUGUCUUCGGACCAAAGAUUUAUCGCCUUUGGAUGGGCCCGCGUUGGAUUAGCUAGUUGGUAGGGUAAAAGCCUACCAAGGCGACGAUCCAUAGCUGGUCUGAGAGGAUGAUCAGCCACACUGGGACUGAGACACGGCCCAGACUCGUAAGGGAGGCAGCAGUGAGGAAUAUUGGACAAUGGGAGAAAGACUGAUCCAGCAAGGCCGAGUGAGUGAUGAAGGCCUUAGGGUUGUAAAGCUAUUUUACCCGGGAUGAUAAUGACAGUACCGGGAGAAUAAGCUCCGGCUAACUCCGUG